UCGCCGCCGGCGACGUCGCGAGAAGUCCACUGAACCUUAUCAUUUAGAGGAAGGAGAAGUCGUAACAAGGUUUCCGUAGGUGAACCUGCGGAAGGAUCAUUGUCGAUGCCUGCAAAGCAGAACGACCCGCGAACCGUUUCUCAACACUCGGGGCACGGGAGGGCGUUCAUUCGGCCCGCCCGGUACCCCGGCGCUCCGGACGCUGGGGGUGGUGCGAGCCACCCCCGGCGGAGGGAGCAUCAAACAAAACCCCGGCGUGCAAAGCGCCAAGGUACUCCAACGGUAGGGCAAGCACCCGAACGCCUGGACUCCAGCGCGAUCGGGCGUCUGUUCGGAAUCAUAAGUCUAAACGACUNNNGUGUGAAUUGCAGAAUCCCGUGAACCAUCGAGUCUUUGAACGCAAGUUGCGCCCGAAGCCUCGGCUGAGGGCACGCCUGCCUGGGUGUCACACGUCGCCUCGCCUCCAAAACCUUCCCCCCUGUUGUGGUGAUGGUACGGAUGCGGAAGAUGGCCUCCCGUGACCACGAGCCACGGAUGGCCCAAGUCUCUGCUGGGGGAGCGAAGCGCCACGGCUUUCGGUGGUCGGCACUGCCCUCGAGGCAAUCARUCAAUCAAGCCCGUGGCAGCCGCGACRGCCCCCGGUGUACGACCCUAAUGAUCAAAACAACCAACGCGACCUCAGGUCAGGCGGG
rnacentral:rRNA from 1 species